rnacentral:lncRNA from 10 species
AGCGAAAGGCCUCAAUUUCCUGUCCUCUGCUUACUGCCCCUUUUUUUGCCUGCGAAUGGCGGCGAUUUGAAGUUGGGGCUUUUCGUUUCCUCCAAAACAUUGAUAUCUGGAAAGGGAGCCCCUUAACACUUUUGGAGGGAACUGGCUGCAGCAUUUGGCGGGGAGAGAUAAACUGGUUUCCCACCUCUGCUUACUCCCACCUUCUCCCCUUAAUCUUCUCUUCCUCUGUGCGAGACUUUUUUCCUUUUUUAUUGUAGACACAGGGUCUUUGUUCUGCUGCCCAGGUUGGAGUGCAGUGGCGUGAUCAUAGCUCACUGCAGCCUCAACCCCCCGGGCCCAAGCGAUCCUUCCACCUCAGCCUCCCGAGUAGCUGGGCCUAGAGGUGCACACCACCAUGCCUGGCUAAUUUUUAAUUUUUUUUGUAGAGAUGGAGCCUUUCUAUGUUGCCAAGCCUAGCCUCGAACUCCUGGCCUCCCAAAAUGUGGGGAAUACAGGCGUGAGCCACUGCACCCCGGGUCAUUCCUCUUUUACUUCCUUGCUGUACCCCAACUAUCCUUCCCCCUCGGUGCCCUUAAAACCUUUGCAUUGGGACUUAACGGUAAUAGAAUGGCAUUCCUCACUGCCUCCGAACCACUCAAGCUGCUGCCCAUGCACUCUCUUCUGCAUGGCUCCUGGACUAAGCAGCCUCCCUUUGAUUAAGCAGCUCUCGGUCCUGGAUGAAUC